rnacentral:tRNA from 3 species
CGGGGCGUAGCGCAGCCUGGUAGCGUACGUGCAUGGGGUGCACGGGGUCGCAAGUUCGAAUCUUGCCGUCCCGACCA